rnacentral:lncRNA from 10 species
AUUGAAUUCAGAGCCUCACAAUUGCUGUGUUCUACUUCGCCUAGCAACCAGAGAUGAUCCCUGCAACAUGCUGCUGUUGCUGGGAGUGGGAAAGAGGUGGCAUCGGCGGUUCAAGACUGAGUUUUCUAUCUCUUCAGUGCCUCUUUCAACAAUGAAGAUCAAACCAGGUUUUGUGCAAAUAUCUGCUGAGUGAACUACUUAUUUGAAAAUACAUCAUUGGUUAAUAUUCCCUUUUGCUCAUUGAAAUCUCAAAGACUACAGACCCCGCACAAGACAUUCUGACAUUCCCGUCUUUGAAAUGAAUGACAGCAAUGAUAAAUAUGGCUCACCUCCAGAGAUACAGAUCUCACAACUUCAUAUUUUUAAUAUAAAUUAUUAAUCUGAGGUGUGGUGCAAUUCCAUUAGAUGAAAGAGAUCUACACAUUCAGAAGCACAUGAUUCUUCCCCCUUCCAUGAUUCCAGUGGCCAAUAGACAAACUACAAUAAAGCCAUGCCCUGACUGGAUGUGCCUAACAUUUGUCUGGUGCUUAAAGGAGUUGGCUGCAUGCGUGGAAAUGUUGGAAAGUCACCAAAAAUAGUUCUCCAAGUCAGAAGCGGUGCAAAAGCUGCCUCAGCUCUUGGUGGAUUUUCAAUUUCUCCCAGCCAUCUCUGUUUCGCUAAAGGUUUCUGAAGACAGUGGGUAUGUGGCAAACUUCUGCAAUUCUAUAUUAAGAUAAACUGUUAGAUCAAUUAUGUGUGUCAUAUUAUCUUCCUUCUGCAGAGUUUGAGAAUUAUAUUUCUUACCUGUUUGCUUCAGGGACAACUUGUUUGGAAAAAAAAUCACCCAGGGUUAAACAUCAUAUUCUUUAGAACCCAAAAAGCAUUGAUCCAUUUAUAUCCAGCUUCAAAUACCAUGCUAGUAUUCCCAACUUAAGGGCCACCAUAUUGAUGCAUGCUAAUGUGCCAACAGUUUCAUCCACUAUUUUAUUUUAUUUAUUUAUUUAUUUAUUUGAGAUGGAGUUUUGCUCUGGUCACCCAGGCUGGAGUUCAAUGGCAUGAUCUUGGCUCACUGUCACCUCUGCCUGCUGUGUUCAAGUGAUUCUCCAGCCUCAGCCCUCCCGAGUAGCUGGAAUUAUGGGCGCCCACCACCAUGCCUGGCUAAUUUUUGUAUUUUUAGUAGAGACAGGGUUUCGCCAUGUUGGCCAGACUGAUCUCCAACUCCUGACCUCAGAUGAUUCGCUCACCUCGGCCUCCCAAAGUGCUAGAAUUACAGGCAUGAGCCACAGUGCCUGGCCUCACCCACUAAUUUUUAGACACCAUUAGUGUAAGUGUCAUCAAAAUAAAAAAGACAAAUAAUCUAUUAAUAUUAUGUUACUGUAGUUUUGUCCUCACAGACCCUCAGGUAGCUUCUGGGGACCAUCAUGGUCCCACAGACCAUUCUUUGAGAAUUGCUAUCACAGAGAAAAUAAACCUUUGACACAUCAUAACUGCACUCUAAAUAUAGGAUUUGUAUAUGCUGAAGAAUUUCAAUAAAGAUCUGGAACAGCAGC